GACGAACGCUGGCGGCGUGCUUAACACAUGCAAGUCGAACGGAAAGGCCCCUUUGGGGGUGCUCGAGUGGCGAACGGGUGAGUAACACGUGAGUAACCUGCCCUUGACUUCGGGAUAACUUCAGGAAACUGGGGCUAAUACCGGAUAGGAAUCCUUGCUGCAUGGUGGGGGUUGGAAAGCUUCGGCGGUUUUGGAUGGACUCGCGGCUUAUCAGCUUGGUGGUGGGGUAGUGGCUUACCAAGGCUUUGACGGGUAGCCGGCCUGAGAGGGCGACCGGCCACAUUGGGACUGAGAUACGGCCCAGACUCCUACGGGAGGCAGCAGUGGGGAAUAUUGCACAAUGGGCGGAAGCCUGAUGCAGCAACGCCGCGGGCGGGAUGGCGGCCUUCGGGUUGGAAACCGCUUUCAGCAGGGGCGAAGCUUGUGGUGACGGUACCUGCAGAAGAAGCACCGGCUAACUACGUG
rnacentral:rRNA from 1 species